rnacentral:rRNA from 1 species
CCCUUAGAUGUUCUGGGCCGCACACGCGCUACACUGAAGGAGGCAGCGUGUACUCCUGGAUCGAAAGAUUUGGGUAACCCGCGCAUCUCCUUCGUGCUAGGGAUUGAGGUUUGCAAUUAUCCUUCAUGAACGAGGAAUUCCCAGUAAGUGCAAGUCAUAAGCUUGCGCUGACUACGUCCCUGCCCUUUGUACACACCGCCCGUCGCUACUACCGAUUGAAUGAUUUAGUGAGGACUUCGGACUGGGACCGAUGCGGCUUUCGGGCUGCGUCGGUAUUCUGGAAAGAUGUCCAAACUGUAUCAUUUAGAGGAAGUAAAAGUCGUAACA